rnacentral:lncRNA from 1 species
GCCCCGCCAGCCCGAGGCGCGGGAGGGGCCCGGAAAGCUCCCUCCCGCCCGCUCGCCGCUGCCGGCGGCCCCGGGGGCGCCCCUUCCGCGGCCGAGGCCCCCGCUCGCGUGGGGAAGCUUCUACCUGCGAGCCUGCGGCCCCUGCCCCCGGCACCCGAGACAUCCCCGACCCGGCGCGCCGGAUUCUCUGCCAGGUUUUACAGCCUCCCUCGCCUUGGGACCGCCGCGGAGGACCCGUUCCCGCCACUUCGGACCUCGCGAGCGGGGCUGAGCUGCUUGGGUCGGGGACACCACCAGCCUCUGGAGAAACGGCCCGAAGCACCCCGAAGAAGAGGGGGUCCCAGUCCCCUGCCCCUCCCUUGUGCGCACCCCCACCCCCAGCUUGCCUGGAACCUGACUCCACACCUUUGUCGACCGGGACAGGGACUGGGGGUUGCACCCCAGAUCAGAAAGUCAGAGGUGGCCCUCCGAAUCGGCGCGGACUUCCGAGGAACCUCAGCCAAUUCUCGACCCCCUUACCACCUGCAAGGCCUUAGGAAUCGGCUCCAGAAAGCUCGAGCUUAUCUGCGUGUUUCGUUUUAAAAAUCACUUCUAAGAUAAAACCUAACUAGGCUUUCCCCUUCAGACUUUCAGUAACUCCUGUUUGGCAAAUUUUGACAUUCACUCUAUCCUUCGUCUUUGUAAGGACAUAUCAAGACUUAGAAGGCUUUGAUUACACAUACGGAUGGCAUGAGUCGUGAUAUAAAAUAGUAUUGUUUUCACGUGUACUUCGAAGUCAUCUCAUUUGAAAUUAACUGUCAUAAUUGACUAUUUGGAAUAUUCAACCUAAAUACUACCCGCUGCUGUGGUGACGGGGGGUGGAGGAAGCGUGGUGGAACCCCAACACCUAGUGAGGGGUGGCUGAUUAAUACCACGGCUCACAACAUAACAGAGCGGCUCAUUCCAUGAACAACCCCGGGGGGAUUUCGAAUUCUAUCAUCUGGGCAAAAGAUGUGAUGAGUGUAACUUCCUGUUUUCUCCAAACUAAAACACUACGCAGAUUCCUGUACCGCUCUGGGACAGAAAUCCUCAGCCAGAGCAGAGGCCGUCCCCAGAGUCCACACUGUUUCCUGCAU